rnacentral:rRNA from 1 species
CAAUAGCGUAUAUUUAAGUUGUUGCAGUUAAAAAGCUCGUAGUCGGAUUUUGGCUGAGAACGAUCGGUCCGCCGUUAGGUGUGCACUGAUUGGUCUCAGCUUCCUGGUGAGGAGGUGUGCUUCACGGCCACUUAGUCACCGUGGUUACUUUGAAAAAAUUAGAGUGUUCGAAGCGGGCUUACGCUUGAAUAUAUUAGCAUGGAAUAACACCAUAGGACUCCUGUCCUAUUUCGUUGGUCUCGGGACGGGAGUAAUGAUUAAGAGGAACAGUUGGGGGCAUUCGUAUUUCAUUGUCAGAGGUGAAAUUCUUGGAUUUAUGAAAGACGAACUUCUGCGAAAGCAUUUGCCAAGGAUGUUUUCAUUGA